GAGUUAUAGUUUCACUGCCCAGGCUCAGAUCAACUUUCAACUCUCUAAAGCCUAAAUGACUGUUACAUUUGAUUUCYCUUUCUACUAGUCUACCUUUGAAAGAUGCCCUGAAGAUCCCUUCCCCCAAAAAAUAUAUAUAUCCCCGCAUCCCGCGGUAUUUGACAGUUCCCCUCUAUUUUUUGACAUUUACCCCGCCCCUUCGCUCCGGGAAUCCAGAGUUGUUUACAUUACUGCCACGGGUCAGGAAUGGUAAGGACCUGACGGACUCUUUCUGAACACGUAGCUAGCUAGCUACCUAUUCAACUCAUUUUACAAUUAGAGGUCUUCUGUUUUAGCGCACAGGGAAACUCGACUGCAGCACGACUUUGGAUUGGAAAAGUAAGCCCCAAAGCAAAGACAACCGCCAUCACCACCAGAAGACCGAAGUGAGGCUCCCACUUCCUGAGGUGUGAGUGACUGAUCUUCUGACACCAUGGACAUGGACACCCAAUCACAAGGCCAGCAGGCAGCAGUACCCUCGUUCCAGCCACAGAAGCCGCUCCAGCCGGACAUGGGCCACAGCUCUCUGGCUAACUUCCUGAUUGAGAAGAAGAUUGGGCGGGGCCAGUUCAGUGAGGUGUACCGGGCCAGGUACCUGAUGGACAACACCUCCAUGGCCCUUAAGAAG